UAACGGGGAAUUAGGGUUCGAUUCCGGAGAGGGAGCCUGAGAAACGGCUACCACAUCUAAGGAAGGCAGCAGGCGCGCAAAUUACCCAAUCCUAAUACAGGGAGGUAGUGACAAGAAAUAACAAUACAGAACCUUACGGUUUUGUAAUUGGAAUGAGUUAAGUAUAAACCCCUUAACAAGUAUCAAUUGGAGGGCAAGUCUGGUGCCAGCAGCCGCGGUAAUUCCAGCUCCAAUAGCGUAUAUUAAAGUUGUUGCAGUUAAAAAGCUCGUAGUUAAUCUUCUGUUAAUUUUUAUAUAUAAUAUCACGAUAUUUAUAUAAUAUUAACAUAAUUCAUAUUACUUUUUAGUAUAUGAAACUUUACUUUGAGAAAAUUAGAGUGCUUAAAGCAGGCUAUUGCCUUGAAUACUCCAGCAUGGAAUAAUAUUAAGGAUUUUUAUUCUUCUUAUUGGUUCUAGAAUAAAAAUGAUGAUUAAUAGGGACAGUUGGGGGCAUUUGUAUUUAACAGUCAGAGGUGAAAUUCUUAGAUUUGUUAAAGACAAACUACUGCGAAAGCAUUUGCCAAGG
rnacentral:rRNA from 1 species